rnacentral:misc_RNA from 1 species
CGCACCUUGCGCUCCUGGACUUGUUUCAGGAGCAUGCCUGUUUGAGUGUCAUGAAAUCAUCAACCACGCCGCUUUUGUUAGCGGUCGUGGCUUGGACUUGGGGAUUUGCGGGUGCGUCAAGCGUCGGCUUCCCUUGAAUGUAUUAGUCGGGGUGCCUUGCUCGAGACGUGUGAUAAUUAUCAUUCACGGACCGACAAGGAGCUUGUCUCGGCUUCUAACCGCAUGAACAAUGCAAUCUUGACACAUCUGACCUCAAAUCAGGUAGGACUACCCGCUGAACUUAA